AACGAACGCUGGCGGCAUGCCUAACACAUGCAAGUCGAACGAAGUCUUCGGACUUAGUGGCGCACGGGUGAGUAACGCGUGGGAACCUGCCCUUCGGUACGGAAUAACGUCGGGAAACUGACGCUAAUACCGUAUAUGUCUCUGGAUGAAAGAUUUAUCGCCGGAGGAGGGGCCCGCGUCUGAUUAGCUAGUUGGAGAGGUAAUGGCUCACCAAGGCGACGAUCAGUAGCUGGUCUGAGAGGAUGAUCAGCCACACUGGGACUGAGACACGGCCCAGACUCCUACGGGAGGCAGCAGUGGGGAAUAUUGGACAAUGGGGGCAACCCUGAUCCAGCAAUGCCGCGUGAGUGAUGAAGGCCUUCGGGUUGUAAAGCUCUUUUGGCAGGGACGAUGAUGACGGUACCUGCAGAAUAAGCCCCGGCUAACUUCGUGCCAGCCGCCGCGGUAAAAC
rnacentral:rRNA from 1 species